GAAACUAGGCCCGGAGGAAGGGGCAGGAAACCCACUGUCUCUGUAUACACAGCUGUCAGGAAGCUUUCAGAGGAGAAUCCUUGCCCCACCCUGCCACCUGGUCACAGCUGGGCCCCAGCACCUCCCCAGGGCUCCAGAGACCUCUGACUUCUCAGGCUAAAACAGUUUCAGUACUGUUGAGCUCUGUACCACCAUCCAUCCCUGCUCACUCCCCACGAAGUCCAGCUGGUAUAGGUAUUCUCUAUGGGUGCUCCAUUCCUCUGGCUUGAGGUCCUGUGCUACAUAAGAGAGAAGAAAGCUACUGAGCAGCAGUAACCAAGUGUGUGCACACGCUUUAUCUCUCGCCACUCUUGCCUGUGCUUGUGAUGUGACAGCUACUUUGAGAUCUGGCCUUGACUUCCUCACAGUGCCACACGGUGAUCUGGAUCUCAGCUCCGACAGCCUUCCCUCGCUCGGACGCUCAGGAUGGGGAGCUUACAGGGCAGAGCUACCCUACCCUGGCUACUCUUGGUUGAAUGGGGUACACAGAGUGAUGGCGUGGAAGGAAGGCAGCGUGACCCUGGAUGAGACAUCCAGGUUCCUAUGCGGGGCAGAUAAUGGGAAGAGGACUCUCCAUGGCCCAACAGACCACUGGCAACCCACUGUGUCACCCCAAGCAAGGCUUCAUCAUCAGUCUCACCAUCUGGAAACGUGGUUCUCCACAGUACUCAUCUGGCAAGGACGCCAUCAGGAUGACACUGCAAGAUGUGUAACAGUCUGCACACCCAGCACAUACACAAAAAUAGGGACUGCCAAGUGAGAGCAGAGAGAGAUGCCCUGUGGCCUUGGGGACUGCCCUAGGGACUAUUCUUCCUUACCAUCAGCUGCAAUGACACACUACCUGGCUCCCUUGUUUCCAUGUGGCCAGCAGUGUUCAUAGCCAAGAUGUGGAGCUGUCUGUUGUCAUAGCAACCCAGGCCUAUGGUGUCCUGUCCCCGUUAGUACCAGAGCUUGCCACUUGGGGUGUCAGCCUGCAGGUUUGUGAGUGGAUAUGGGUGUGCGAGAGGGAUUCCUGAGGGCACCAGCCAUGUGCCUGAGCACGAACAG
rnacentral:lncRNA from 1 species